rnacentral:misc_RNA from 1 species
AUAUAUUAUUUGGAGCAUUACAUGAUAUAUAAGCAAUCUAUUCCAGACAAAAAGAUAAAAAGUAAAUUAAAUACAAUCUAUACAUUCUGUAUGUGGAUGGUUUCUAAUAUAACUCUCAUAACAAUAUUUACCUUAAUUUCCUUAUUGGUAAUGCAUUUCCAAAGAGUUUUUCUACUUCAGUUGCUUCCAUUUUAAGUCCAUCCAAAAUAUCCAUUUCUUCUUUGCUGAGCUCUCUUAUAAAGUUUUCUUCAUCUUGUUGCAGCUCUUUGAAACCUUCGAACAGUCUACUGAAUAAGCUGACUUCUUUUUCCUUCACCUUCUCGACUUCUUCUUCUAUUUCCUCGACUUCUUUUAUGAUUGUCCGCUCUCCUUCUUCCACUUUCUUCUCUAACCGUUCAACAAGGGGUGGCUCAGGGCCACAAGUAUUGUCUGUUUUUAUGAAAGUGUUGAAAUCACGACCAACUUUUUGAGCUGCAAUUUGCAACUCAGGUAUAAUCGUUUCAGGCAAAACGGAGCUUCUAGUAUAAAGUACAGAACCACCAUAUCCAUCCCAUGCAUCAUUUCUGCCCUUAUAGUACACAAAUAUGUAAUCAUCUGGACUGUUUUCAACUUUGGAUGACAAAAUAUACCAGUCAUCUUGGUAGUGAAGAUACUCAUUAUCAUGAUUGUAGAGUAUCCCGGGAUACUUUGGAUCUUGCACGAAUUUUUGCACUGCGGAUCGAGUGAAAAAUCCUCCAUCAGGUGUCCCUAUUCUCCAAGUCAGAUUUCCCACAAGCUUGUUUCCUUCUGUAUGGAACUCAUGCAAUUGACAAUCAAAAACAUCAAAUGUGGGAUUCAAACCGCGAGUGAUGUACCAUUUUCCAAUAAAAUCAUUCAUGUCAAACUUUUGGACGAGAACACUGGGAUCAGGCACAGGAAAGUCACCAACAUCAGAUUUACGAGGUACACAUUUCUUCCGGGAGACUGCACACUCAUUGAACUCGUCUACAACACUGUUUUCAAACAAAUCACCACAUUUUAUCUGACAUUCCGUUUCAUCAGGUCUAUUGUUGCAUGUUUGGAGACAGGCAACAUUAGCUGCACAUGCAGGGUUUGAGAUGCACUUCGCAAGCUCUAUCCUGCACUCUUUCAGUAAGCAAGUACAAGUUUUGAGAGCAUCAACGGCAUCAGCCUUUGAAGCAACUGACAAAAUAAAUAUAGUUACAAUUGCUGUUUUGGCCAAUUGGCCCCAUUUCUUCAAGACCAUCAAAGCUACAUCUUCUGGAAAUUUCCAUAUUGUAUUUCCCUUAGGUACAUUCUGGUUAAUUCUAUGUGCAGAAGAAAGAUUUUGUUUCCCCCGUGAUGAUAGUUGCAGACUUCUAGAAUCCAAACCACAACAUAUUCUAGAAGAUUUCUGCAAGUAUGUAGGUAUCUGUCUUCUGGAACAAAUUUUCACUAGGACUAUACUACCAAAGUAAUCUGCUCUACCCCAGCUAAAUCUUGUAUGACUCUGAAGCCUUGAUCCAACUUGACAUUUGAUGGCUUCAUGAUUGCACAGAAUGUUUGAAUGAGGGGCAAGCGCCAUUAUUCAAUUGAAUGACCACCAACUCCAACCUCAUGUAAAUAGAGUGCUAUGAAGAUUGAACGUUGAGUAUAAAGAGUUGUUGUGGAUUUUGCAUCUUUUUUUUUCUUCUGAAUUUUUGGGUGUUUUAAGUGUGAAAGAGUUGAGUGAAGGGGAAAUG